rnacentral:rRNA from 1 species
GAUGAACGCUGGCGGCGUGCCUAAUACAUGCAAGUCGAGCGAACAGACGAGGAGCUUGCUCCUCUGACGUUAGCGGCGGACGGGUGAGUAACACGUGGAUAACCUACCUAUAAGACUGGGAUAACUUCGGGAAACCGGAGCUAAUACCGGAUAAUAUAUUGAACCGCAUGGUUCAAUAGUGAAAGACGGUUUUGCUGUCACUUACAGAUGGAUCCGCGCCGCAUUAGCUAGUUGGUAAGGUAACGGCUUACCAAGGCAACGAUGCGUAGCCGACCUGAGAGGGUGGUCGGCCACACUGGAACUGAGACACGGUCCAGACGACUAAGGGAGGCAGCAGUAGGGAAUCUGCCGCAAUGGGCGAAAGCUUUGCGGAACAACGCCGCGUGAGUGAUGAAGGUCUUCGGAUCGUAAAACUCUGUUAUUAGGGAAGAACAAAUGUGUAAGUAACUAUGCACGUCUUGACGGUACCUAAACAGAAAGCCACGGCUAACUACGUG